UGCAGGAUUGUAGCUACACAUGCAAGUCGAACGGCAGCACAGAGAGAGCUUGCUCUCUGGGUGGCGAGUGGCGGACGGGUGAGGAAUACAUCGGAAUCUACUUUUUCGUGGGGGAUAACGUAGGGAAACUUACGCUAAUACCGCAUACGACCUACGGGUGAAAGCAGGGGACCUUCGGGCCUUGCGCGAUUGAAUGAGCCGAUGUCGGAUUAGCUAGUUGGCGGGGUAAAGGCCCACCAAGGCGACGAUCCGUAGCUGGUCUGAGAGGAUGAUCAGCCACACUGGAACUGAGACACGGUCCAGACUCCUACGGGAGGCAGCAGUGGGGAAUAUUGGACAAUGGGCGCAAGCCUGAUCCAGCCAUACCGCGUGGGUGAAGAAGGCCUUCGGGUUGUAAAGCCCUUUUGUUGGGAAAGAAAUCCAGCCGGCUAAUACCUGGUUGGGAUGACGGUACCCAAAGAAUAAGCACCGGCUAACUUCGUGCCAGCAGCCGCGGUAAUACGAAGGGUGCAAGCGUUACUCGGAAUUACUGGGCGUAAAGCGUGCGUAGGUGGUUGUUUAAGUCUGUUGUGAAAGCCCUGGGCUCAACCUGGGAACUGCAGUGGAAACUGGACAACUAGAGUGUGGUAGAGGGUAGCGGAAUUCUCCGGUGUAACAGUGAAAUGCGUAAGAUCC
rnacentral:rRNA from 1 species